CACACUUAGACACUGUAGUCAUAGCUAGAGCCACACAUGAUUUAGAAAGGAAAUAUACAUUUUGCAAUUGUCUCACGUCAAAGUAAAUACUACUUCAAAAUUGGACCAAUUCAAAUGUAGGCAAUGCUAUAGAUUUAUGGUAAGGCAUCCGAUCUAGGCCUGGGUAAUGAUAUUGUAUUUUAAGGCAUGCCUGUGAUCUAGGGCUGGGUGAUGAUAUUGUAUUUUAAGGCAUGCCUGUGAUCUAGGCCUGGGUAAUGAUAUUGUAUUUUAAGGUAUGCCUGUGAUCUAGGCCUGGGUGAUGAUAUUGUAUUUUAAGGUAUGCCUGUGAUCUAGGCCUGGGUGAUGAUAUUGUAUUUUAAGGUAUGCCUGUGAUCUAGGCCUGGGUAAUGAUAUUGUAUUUUAAGGCAUGCCUGUGAUCUAGGCCUGGGUGAUGAUAUUGUAUUUUAAGGUAUGCCUGUGAUCUAGGGCUGGGUAAUGAUAUUGUAUUUUAAGGUAUGCCUGUGAUCUAGGCCUGGGUGAUGAUAUUGUAUUUUAAGGCAUGCCUGUGAUCUAGGCCUGGGUAAUGAUAUUGUAUUUUAAGGCAUGCCUGUGAUCUAGGCCUGGGUGAUGAUAUUGUAUUUUAAGGCAUGCCUGUGAUCUAGGCCUGGGUAAUGAUAUUGUAUUUUAAGGUAUGCCUGUGAUCUAGGCCUGGGUGAUGAUAUUGUAUUUUAAGGUAUGCCUGUGAUCUAGGCCUGGGUGAUGAUAUUGUAUUUUAAGGUAUGCCUGUGAUCUAGGCCUGGGUGAUGAUAUUGUAUUUUAAGGUAUGCCUGUGAUCUAGGCCUGUGUAAUGAUAUAUUGUAUUUUAAGGUAUGCCUGUGAUCUAGGCCUGUGUAAUGAUAUAUUGUAUUUUAAGGUAUACCAGUGUCGAACCACAUAUGGCAAAGGAUUUUUCUCUAUAAUUAUAUUUUGAUACCAUCUAUAUUCUAUCAUUUACAUUUUUGAUACAGUGAUAAACAAAGAAAAAGUUCUACAAAUUGGACUACUUUACUGUCAGUUUUGGAUUGGUAUAAAACAAUCAGAAUGGGGGAAAGCCCAUUUAAAACCACAUAUAAUUAAUUUGUUGCCAUCCUAGGGUUGUGGGUUACACAGAAAAACAUAUUAAGAACUUGUGUUAUUCCCGAAGCAUAAAAUGCAGGCAUACCAUCAAAUGUAGAAUAUCACCCAGCCCUUCUCUAAUCCUAUACCCAUGGUCAGAGCGUCUUACUGUGGAGCACAAGUAAAGUAGCAUUCACACAAUAAUAGACACACUCAUCAUUUAUUAAGCACUGAAAAUACACUUUUAUUACUUCACAUUUGUGUUUUAAAAGAUUUAAUUUGUUAAUUUAUAGGAUUUUAAAUAUCUGAAAUCUCCCUUCUCUCUGUCCUUCAAUUGUACCUGUAAACUCUUA